rnacentral:lncRNA from 1 species
AUUUGAAUCCAAAUGUUUUCCAUAAUUAAGUAAAAAAAAAAGAAAAGUAAAUAAAUAAAUGAACUAACAUUAAUUAAAACUAAUAAAACAAACUGAAGUUUUGCACUAGAUGUAUAUAGUGUCUUUGAGCUAGCACUGUUGUUGGGUGUAUGACUGUCAGCAAUAAUUUCAAUGUUUCUUUAUGUAUAUGGAAGUGUUAUAGCCAAGACAGCUUAUUAAUCAUAAACUGAAGGCAUUUCUAAAAAUUCACUUUCAUGCAGGUUUCCUAUAAAAAGGGAAGAGAAGGGGUGAAAAUAGAUAACUUUUAAAUGUAUAAAUUAAUAGUUUAAAUAUUAGCUGUCUUUAAUAAAUAAACAUUUUAAACAAUAUAUUAAUAUAUCACACUAGGAAAACAGUGAAGGUGAGAAGUUAAGUUUCCCCUGAGCUGAGUCUAUCGUCAGUUUUUCAAUUCCCAGUUAUAGAUACUUUCAUUUCUAUCACAUACACUAUGGCUCUUGGGAUAGACAUGAACAGCAACCAUUUUAUUAACAUUUUUGUAAAUUAAUAAUGACAAUAAUAAUAAUAAUAAUUAUAAUAAUGAUAAUAAUAAUAUUAAAUAAUUAUAGUAUUAAUGACAAAUAAUAAUAUUCCUAUCUCUUUGAUGCCUUGCUUCAACUACAUAAAAUGUAGAUUAAGUAUGUCAUCACUUGGCUAUUUAGCAAAAUGCAUGAGCUUAUUAUUAAGCCAUUCAUUAUAAGUUUAUAGAUAUUCUUUAAACGGAAGAGUUUAAAUUACAUAAUGAGCAAAUACCAUAUUCUUUACACUACCCCGUUUCUUUCUUCCAUAAUCAAAGUGUAGGAAUUAUGGUAAAUUUAAAUGUGUUAACGACUUUUUUUUUUUGUAAUUUUUAAUUAAAAGCAACUCCAUGAAGGAAAAUGUACUUGGUGUGUUCUCACUUUAUUCUUUUCUGUUCUUUUUUUUUUUGCUCUUUUAUUCUGGAACGUUUCCAAAGAAUACUGAAAGCAAGUAAAGUGACUAACAUUUCCAAUUGUUACAUUAUAUUACAAGACUAUACCAAUCUAACAAGGUGAAUUAAAUAUCAUCAUCACACAUUUGCUGUUCUGUGUAAUUUUAACACGUUAAAGUUUGAGCCAUUUAUUUUCAAAAUCCAUCUCAUAUUAUUAAUACAUAAUCUAGCUUCUAUCAACUCUCAUUAAAUUGCCACUUCUACUUUUGCAUAAGCCAUUUAUAAGGCAUGUGAAAUAUUGCCUCAUUACAAUAGCAAUAGAUUUAUCUAUAACGUUGUCAUCUUUUGUUGAGCUUUCUUCAUUUCAUUAGAAUGGAAUGAUAAGAAUAGUAAUGAUUUCAAUGACAAAUUCUAUAGAACAAGCUGUAAUUACCCAGUAAGCUCAGCCUGCUUUUCAUCUUAGCAAAGGUAUGAAUUUCGUAUCUUCUUAAUUCUCUUGUUCAUCAUAAUAAUACAAGAAUUCUAUGUCUAAUCAAAAAUUGUAAUGAAUUUCAUGAUUGUUUGUUUGUUAACUUCUAUUGCUAAUUUUUUUUUUUCCAUAGGAAAGAAUUAGGAAUGAAUUGUUUAUCAUCAGUAUAUCUCAAGUAAUUAGUUUAUUAACCACUUGUAUGGUAAACAGCUAAUUUGAUAUUGACUGAGUUAGAAUAUAACACUUUGAAAGUCUCAACUAAGGUUUCAUCGGCUGUUUAGUGUUACACUCAAGAUGAGCUGUAAUCCAAUCAGCCUAAUAUACAAUUAUUACUACUACUAUUCCUCCUCCUCCUCCUCCUCCUCCUACUACUACUACUACUACUACUACUACUACUACUACUACUGUAAUGAUGCAAUAAAAGUGACACCUAUACUGUUAUAUCACAUAGUUUUUUCUUAAGCUUAGAAAAUUCAAACUAUCCCAUUGAUUUUCUUCCGGUUUGGAGUUAUGUAAUCUGUUUUCAUUUUUUAACAUAAGAGACUUAAAAAUGACAGGUUAUUGUGUAAUUAAUUUUAUCAAAAGCAACGAUUAAAAUCAGAAAGUGAUGACAUACUUAUGAUCAUUGAAUGUAGGCUAUGACGUCUCAUACUACUUGCAUUUAAGCAAUAUUUGUAUGAAGAUAUGCUGCAGACAAACUAACCCAGAAUUAUAUAAAUACAUAUAUGUAUGUGUGUGUGUGUGUGCAUUCAUACAUGUAUAUAUGUAUAUAUCUAGCACUCUCUUUUAUAUGUGAGAUAGAGCUAGAUAGAUACAUGCACACAUGCAUGAAUGCAUACACACAUACAUGCAUAUGCACACUAGUGUUAUAUAUAUAUAUAUGCACACACUCACGCACAUGUGUGUGUAUGUACUUAUAUAUAUAUGUGUGUGUGUGUAUGUAUGUAUGUACAUGAGCAUGUGUAUAUGUAUAUGGGUGUGUGAAAAUGUAUUAUCAAUUAGGUUUCUAUAUCUUUAUAGGAUGGAGAAUGGCAAGAAUUAGAAGUUGCAGAAUUCAUGUUUAUUCCAAGAGUCUAAAUGCUAUAAAUGAAAUAAGAGGUAUUACUAACUCAGGAAUAGAAGCCUCAUGGUCAAUUUGAUUUAGCAUCAUACUACAAUUUAAAAUGCUUUCGAAUAAUAAUAAUAAUAAUAAUAAUAAUAUCAGUAAUAAUAAUGAUUAUAGUAAUAAACUAAUUACAGUUAUUAUAAAUAAUAGUGAUAAAUUAAUUGUAAUAAUAAUGAUGAUGAUAAUGAUAGUUAUAGGAAAAGCUAAAAUGUAAAAAUAUUUUUUUAAAUAUAACAAUUGAAUAUCAAAGAUGCAAGAAAUUUUGGACUUAGCGCUGAUUGGCUGAAAUUGUAAACUUCCAAGAGACUUUUAGCUAACAGCAGUGUUGGAGAAAAAUUCCACAAUGUAUAUAUAGUAUUACCUUUGAUACUUUCAAAUAUCAGGCUCCCAGCCUUGGUAAAAAAUAAUGGUCAUUUAAUUUCUAAGAACUAACAUAUAAUGAAACAAGAAUAUGCAAACAUUCACAUUCGUACACACAUACAGGCGUAUAUGUCCCAUACAUAAACACAAAGGCAGUCAUUUUUUUUUUCUCAUUAGAAGUAAAAAAAAUUGAAAAACCAUCUAAGAAAUACAUCUGUAGCUGACAUUUAUUAAAUUAAUUAGUAGGGCUUAGAGCAAAUAUAAUACCCCCACAACAACAAUAAAAAUAAUAAUAAUUUAUUUGAUUAUGGAAAAAUGGUAAAAAAAAUAUGAAACAAAAAUAAGAAAAAAAAAAUAACCAUAAUUAGCAUAAAUGUAAAAAUUCCUGACAUGAAAACACAAAAUAAUUUUUAAUUAAUAAUUUAUAUUUUUUUUUAAAUUUGUGUUGAUUUUGUAAACAAUUUUCUGUUUUGAGUCUAAUUUUUUUUUCUCUUUUUAAUUUUUUUUUCAAUGUUCUUUUACAUCUGAUCAGAUCAUGUACAAAGAAAACAAGAAUUAACCAUAGUCUUUUGUCACUGUAACUAUCAUGUGAGGAUUUUUCUUCUUUCCCCCUUCCCCGACUGAAGAUUUUUUUUUUACCCUCUUCUUUUCUUUGGGUAAGUCUGAAGACAGGACACAAUUCCACCAUUAGUAUGUAGCAUCCAGUUUAUAUAUAUAACUUACAAUAACAAAUGCAAACACAAACAUGAAUAUAUAUACACUCACAUACACACAUACAUAUGUAUAUAUUCAUGAA